UACAGAGGUCUCAACCGUUGUUCGGAUUCAUUGGGCGUAAAGGGUGCGUAGGCGGUCGCGCAAGUCGGAUGUGAAAUCUCAGGGCUCUACCCUGAAACUGCAUUCGAUACUGCGUGGCUAGAGUGCUGGAGGGGAGACUGGAAUUUACGGUGUAGCAGUGAAAUGCGUAGAUAUCGUAAGGAAGACCAGUGGCGAAGGCGAGUCUCUGGACAGCAACUGACGCUGAGGCACGAAGGCCAGGGGAGCAAACGGG
rnacentral:rRNA from 1 species